UGCGUCAACCCGCCCCCCGGCGUGAAAUCCAUCGACUGGAUCAAGGGCGGAAUGAAGAACGACAAGUGCAAGUAAUUUCCUGCGCUUGAGGCCAUAGGGCGGUGCGAUAGCAAAAAUCGCGCCGCCCUAUGCUUCACGACAACCGGCCUGAAGUAUCUUCAUGAACACGUUUCUUACGGUCAUCCUCGACGGCCUGAUCCAGGCAUCGUGGCUCUUUAUCGUCGCGCUGGGCCUGACCCUCGUU
rnacentral:misc_RNA from 1 species